rnacentral:rRNA from 1 species
UGGGGAAUUUUGGACAAUGGGCGAAAGCCUGAUCCAGCAAUGCCGCGUGUGUGAAGAAGGCCUUCGGGUUGUAAAGCACUUUUGUCCGGAAAGAAAUCCUUGGCUCUAAUACAGUCGGGGGAUGACGGUACCGGAAGAAUAAGCACCGGCUAACUACGUGCCAGCAGCCGCGGUAAUACGUAGGGUGCAAGCGUUAAUCGGAAUUACUGGGCGUAAAGCGUGCGCAGGCGGUUCGCUGAUAGACCGAUGUGAAAAUCCCCCGGGCUCAACCUGGGAACUGCAUUGGUGACUGGCAGGCUAGAGUAUGGCAGAGGGGGGUAGAAUUCCACGUGUAGCAGUGAAAUGCGUAGAGAUGUGGAGGAAUACCGAUGGCGAAGGCAGCCCCCUGGGCCAAUACUGACGCUCAUGCACGAAAGCGUGGGGAGCAAAACAGGAUUAGAUACCCUGGUAGUCCACGCCCUAAACGAUGUCAACUAGUUGUUGGGGAUUCAUUUCCUUAGUAACGUAGCUAACGCGUGAAGUUGACCGCCUGGGGAGUACGUCGCAA